rnacentral:lncRNA from 8 species
AUGCAAUCUGGUUUCAGAGCUGGUCAUGGGUGCACCUCAGCCACGCUCAAGGUCCUAAACGAUAUGAUAACCGCCAUCGAUAAGAGACAUUACUGUGCGCCGUAUUCAUCGACCUGGCUAAGGCUUUCGACUCUGUCAAUCACAACAUUCUUAUUGGCAGACUCAAUCAACAGCCUUGAUUUCUCAAAUGAUUGCCUCGCUUGGUUCACCAACUACUUGUCCGACAGAGUUCAGUGUGUCAAAUCGAAGGGCCUGUCGUCCGGACCUCUGGCAGUCUCUAUGGGGGUGCCACAGGGUUCAAUUCUCGGGCCGACUCGCUUCUCUGUAUACAUCAAUCAUGUCGCUCUCGCUGCUGGUGAUUCUUUGAUCCACCUCUACACAGACGACACCAUUCUGUAUACUUCUGGCCCUUCUUUGGACACUGUGUUAACUCACCUCCAGAUGAGCUUCAAUGCCAUACAACUCUCCUUCCGUGGCCUCCAACUGCUCUUAAAUGCAAGUAAAACUAAAUGCAUGCUCUUCAACCGAUCGCUGCCGGCAUCUGCCUGCCCGUCCAGCAUCACUACUCUGGACGGUUCUGACUUAGAAUAUGUGGACAACUACAAAUACCUAGGUGUCUGGUUAGACUGUAAGCUCUCCUUCCAGACUCACAUUAAACAUCUCCAAUCCAAAAUUAAAUCUAGAAUUGGCUUCCUAUUAAGCAACAAAGCAUCCUUCACUCAUGCAGCCAAACAUACCCUCGUAAAACUGACCAUCCUCCCGAUCCUCGACUUCGGCGAUGUCAUUUACAAAAUGGCGACCAACACUCUACUCAACAAAUUGGAUGCAGUCUAUCACAGUGCCAUCUGUUUUGUUACCAAAGCCCCAUAUACUACCCACCACUGCGACCUGUAUGCUCUCGUUGGCUGGCCCUCGCUUCAUACUCAUCGCCAAACCCACUGGCUCCAGGUCAUCUAUAAGUCGUUGCUAGGUAAAGCCCCACCUUAUCUCAGCUCACUGGUCACCAUAUCAGCACCCACCAGUAGCACGCGCUCCAGUAGGUAUAUCUCACUGGUCACCCCCAAAGCCAAUUCUUCCUUUGGCCACCUCUCCUUCCAGUUCUCUGCUGCUAAUGACUGGAACAAACUGCAAAAAUCUCUGAAGCUGGAGACUCGUACCUCCCUCACUAGCUUUAAGAUCCAGCUGUCAGAGCAGCUCACAGAUCACUGCACCUGUACAUAG